UACGUAGGGGGCAAGCGUUGUCCGGAAUCAUUGGGCGUAAAGAGCGUGUAGGCGGUCCGAUAAGUCCGCUCUGAAAGCCCGGGGCUCAACCCCGGGAGGCGGGCGGAUACUGUCGGGCUAGAGUCCGGAAGAGGCAAGUGGAAUUCCUGGUGUAGCGGUGAAAUGCGUAGAUAUCUGGAGGAACACCGGUGGCGAAGGCGGCAUCCUGGACCGGCAUUGACGCUGAGGCGCGAAAGCCAGGGGAGCAAACGGG
rnacentral:rRNA from 1 species